AACAAAAAAAAAAAAUUCCCGUGUCUCUCUCUCUUGCCUUGUUUUUUCCGAAUUCCGUCGGCGAUUUUUUCUCUCUGGUGCCGUCGUCUUGUUGCCGUUGAACGUUUACCGGUAGCGCCUACCACAUAUACAACUGUAUAGCGAUUCAACCGUUGGUUUCAAGGGAGAUAUUGAACAGAUUAUGCCAUGUCUGCACCUGCUAAAAGAAAUUCUACAGAUACUCAGGAGAAAGAUCUAAUGCUCAGUAUGGUUCAAGUGUUUAAGAGUUGCUUUCCAUUAACUAUCACGGCAUUGCUAGUGGAAUGCCUUCAAGCCGCAUGCAGUGAAAAUUCUAUUUAAGAAAAGGAAUCAUGAAGUAGACUUCAUGUUAAAAGCUUUACAUCAGAAAGAUCAUGCAUGCUAUCUUUCAGACUUCUUUAUCAUACUCAUUGUUCUAUUUCCUCAAUUCUUUUAACUCUUAUAUUUUCUUAUGCUGAUGAGUCAUUUACCAAUGUUGUCACUGAUGCAAAGUGUUCACACCAAUUCUUUUCUCAUAUGAUUUUUUUCAUCAUCUAAGCUUAAUUUUGUUGAGUUGGACUGUGUAGUGAUAUAAAUAUCUUGAUGACGAUGCAGCCUCGUUAAUUUAGACUUGUCUGAU